UCUAAGCCUCUCGACUUGCCUC
rnacentral:siRNA from 1 species